GGCUUUGGGACCUGAAUUGAGCCAUGCUUCUGGCUUCUUGGGUUCCCCAACUUGCAGACAGCCUAUUGUGGGACUUCUCAGACUCCAUAUUAUAUAAGAAUUGUUCACAAUCUCAGAUGAGAAAGCUCUCAAAGAGCAAACACAGGAUUAGAAGUUUUCUCAUUUGGCUUUUGGCCUCUACUCUGAAAGGUAACGGGAAGAACUAACGACUGCCAGAAUUGACACAUUGGGGAACCCUCCAGAAACCAACAUCGUUGGCCAAAGGAAGAAAAAAAAAUUAAUGCAAUUGGAACACAGCAGAACUACGGUUCCCAAGCUCCCUUGCAGUUGGAUGGGGCCAUGAGAUCUGACCAAUGAAAUGAGUCUAAAGUGUGAUGUGCUUUAUCCAUUGUUUGGUCCCUGAAAAUAUCUCCCACACAAACUGGAUUCUCCACUCUUUCUUUUUCUUUUCUUCUGACCAUAGGCAGCAGAGAGAUCCAAGGUCCUAGUACAGAAAUCUAUAUAUGACAUCCUGUCUGGUGGGCUGAUGUUUUUUAUAAAUAAAGUUUUACUUC